UUUCUGUUUAUUAUAUAAAGGACAGUCUUAAAUGAAAAGCGAUAAUGUUUACAGGAAAGCGAUAAUUGAAAAGGCGAUAAAUUUUUACAUGUGAGAUUAUCAUGAAUAAUUUCACAUCUGAGAUUAUCAUUUUUGUCAGUGCUCGAAAACUCUGCAAAACACUAUACUUUAUAUAAUAAAAAUUCAUAAAUUUGAACCAUGC